rnacentral:lncRNA from 1 species
AAAGCUUCACAAGGGAAAAAGGAACUUAAAAUAGCCUUUUAAAAAUAAGAGAUGGUAAAAGAUUUCUAAGAGUAUAUUUGGAAAAACUGAUGCUACAUUAUUCAACUAAAGAUCAGCCUCUUAUAUAGGCUUUACAGAGCAACAAAUCUUAAUAGAAAAUCAUAUCUCAAUAGGAAAUCAUAUCCCAACAGAAAAUCAUAACAAAAAUAGAAAAAAUAAAGGAAAC